CUUAGCAACAUAGAGGAAGAGUGGAGCUCCGUGAAACAGUGGAAGUCUAGCCGCUACCUCUCAGUGAGAGAGAGAGAGAAGAGGGACUCUAUGGUUCCACCGGCUUCCUUUUGGCCUGAGACACGUCGGCCAUGGCCGAUGGUGGCUGGCCCGCUCCAGGAGGCUGAAGUGCGUGAUGUUCCUCCGCCUCCUCUAGACAUCGAGGGGGUUCCGGCGUACUCUGUUCGAUCCAUUUUGGAUUUGAGACGUCGGGCGAGGGGCCUUCAGUACCUCGUGGACUGGGAGGGGUACGGGCCGGAGUAGAGAUGCUGGGUUCCGGUGGAGGACGUGUUAGAUCCUUCCAUGUUAUCAGAAUUCCACAGUCUCCAUCCGGAUCGCUCUGCACCUCGCCCUCCGGGUCGUCCCCGAGGCCGAUGUCAACGCGCGGCUGGAGCCUCUCCUUGUUCGGGCGGGGCUCGGCAUUCGACGUCACCGGUCUUCUAGCCAUCAUUGAUCCAUUUUUCAUUUUCCAUUGGUUUUGUCUAGUCUUCCCACACACCUGUUUUCAAUCCCAUUCAUUACCUGUUGUGUAUUCAACCCUCUGUUUCCCCUCAUGUCUUUGUCAGAGAUUGUCAUUGUAGUGUUUUUGUUGUAUAGGUGCGCGACGGGUCUUCGUACCCAUAUUUGUUUAUGUUCUUUUCCUGUUUAGUGUUAUGGAGCAUGUUACUAGGACAUUAAUAAAAGACUCCAUUUUACACUCAGUUUGACUCUCCUGCGCCUGACGUCCCUGCCACCUAUACACAUAUGCCUGACAACAAUAGCUCUGCUGGAGUCACUUUUAUUGAUAACUUUGACCCCUUCUGGAAACAGAAGAUACUGUGAAUGACGG
ensembl:lncRNA